GAUGAACGCUGGCGGCGUGCCUAAUACAUGCAAGUAGAACGCAGUUGCGAACGGGUGAGUAACGCGUAGGUAACUGCCGCAUAGCGGGGGAUAACGAUUGGAAACGAUAGCUAAUACCGCAUAUUGUGAGAUGGACCUGCGUUGUCUUAGCUAGUUGGUGAGGUAAAGGCUCACCAAGGCGACGAUACAUAGCCGGCCUGGGAGGGUGAUCGGCCCCAACGGGACUGAGACACGGCCCAGACUCCUUCGGGCGGCAGCAAUGGGGAAACUUCGGCAAUGGGCAGAAGUCUGGCCUAGCAACGCCUCGGGAGUGCAGAAAGUUUGCGGAGCGUAAAGCUCUGUUUUUAGAGAAGCGGUAACUAACCAGAAAGGACCGGCUAACUACGUGCCAGCAGCCGCGGUAAUAC
rnacentral:rRNA from 1 species